UACGUAGGGGGCGAGCGUUGUCCGGAUUUAUUGGGCGUAAAGAGCUCGUAGGCGGUCUGUCGCGUCGGAUGUGAAAACCCAGGGCUCAACUCUGGGCCUGCAUUCGAUACGGGCAGACUAGAGUACGGCAGGGGAGACUGGAAUUCCUGGUGUAGCGGUGAAAUGCGCAGAUAUCAGGAGGAACACCGGUGGCGAAGGCGGUUCUCUGGGCCUUACCUGACGCUGAGGAGCGAAAGCGUGGGGAGCGAACAGG
rnacentral:rRNA from 1 species